UGAAUGUGAAGGUGAUUGUCUGUGUCUCUAUAUGUCAGCUCUGCGAUGAACUGGCAACAUGUCCAGGGUGUACCCCGCCUUCGCUCAUAAGUAGCUGGGAUACGCUCCAGCGACCCCUGCAACCCUGGUGGGGAUAAAGCGGGUUCAGAUAAUGAAUGAAUGAAUGAA